rnacentral:rRNA from 1 species
AGCGAACGCUGGCGGCAGGCCUAACACAUGCAAGUCGAACGGGUCCUUCGGGACUAGUGGCGGACGGGUGAGUAACGCGUGGGAACGUGCCCCUUGGUACGGAAUAGCCCCGGGAAACUGGGAGUAAUACCGUAUGGUGGUCGAGAGACGAAAGAUUUAUCGCCAAGGGAUCGGCCCGCGUUGGAUUAGGUAGUUGGUGGGGUAAUGGCCUACCAAGCCGACGAUCCAUAGCUGGUUUGAGAGGAUGAUCAGCCACACUGGGACUGAGACACGGCCCAGACUCCUACGGGAGGCAGCAGGUGGGGAAUCUUAGACAAGUGGGGGAAACCCUGAUCUAGCCAUGCCGCGUGAUCGAUGAAGGCCUUAGGGUUGUAAAGAUCUUUCAGAUGGGAAGAUAAUGACGGUACCAUCAGAAGAAGCCCCGGCUAACUCCGUG